rnacentral:rRNA from 1 species
UACGGAGGGGGCAAGCGUUAUUCGGAAUUAUUGGGCGUAAAGGGCGCGUAGGCGGCUAGAUGUGUCAAAGGUGAAAUCCCUCGGCUCAACUGAGGAACUGCCUUUGAAACUGUCUGGCUUGAGGCCGGGAGAGGGUAGCGGAAUUCCCAGUGUAGCGGCGAAAUGCGUAGAUAUUGGGAGGAACACCAGUGGCGAAGGCGGCUACCUGGACCGGUUCUGACGCUGAGGCGCGAAAGCGUGGGUAGCAAACAGG